ACUCAAAGGAAUUGACGGGGACCCGCACAAGCGGUGGAGUAUGUGGUUUAAUUCGACACUACGCGAAGAACCUUACCAGCUCUUGACAUGGUGAUCAUACCUUUCGUAAUGGAAAGGGUCGGUUCGGCCGGAUCACACACAGGUGCUGCAUGGCUGUCGUCAGUUCGUGUCGUGAGAUGUUGGGUUAAGUCCCGCAACGAACGCAACCCUUAUCGUUAGUUGCUAACAUUUUAGGUGAGAACUUUAACGAUACUGCCGGUGAUAAACCGGAGGAAGGUGGGGACGAUGUCAAGUCAUCAUGGCCCUUAUGGGCUGGGCUACACACGUACUACAAUGGUGGUUACAAAGGGCAGCGAAGGGGCGACCUGAAGCGAAUCCCAAAAAGCCACCUCAGUUCGGAUUGUUCUCUGCAACUCGAGAACAUGAAGUCGGAAUCGCUAGUAAUCGUAGAUCAGCGUGCUACGGUGAAUACGUUCCCGGGUCUUGUACACACCGCCCG
rnacentral:rRNA from 1 species